rnacentral:rRNA from 1 species
UUGGAGGGCAAGUCUGGUGCCAGCAGCCGCGGUAAUUCCAGCUCCAAUAGCGUAUAUUAAAGUUGCUGCAGUUAAAAAGCUCGUAGUUGAAUUUCGGGACCAAUAUGUCGGUCGUGCCUCGGUACGUACUGGCAUCGUUGGUUUCUCCCUUCUGACGAACCAUGAUGUCAUUUAUUUGGUGUCGUGGGGAAUCAGGACUGUUACUUUGAAAAAAUUAGAGUGUUUAAAGCAGGCUCACGCUUGAAUACAUUAGCAUGGAAUAAUGAAAUAGGACGUUUGAUUCUAUUUUGUUGGUUUCUAGGAUUGACGUAAUGAUUAAUAGGGAUAGUUGGGGGCAUUAGUAUUCAAUUGUCAGAGGUGAAAUUCUUGGAUUUAUUGAAGACUAACUACUGCGAAAGCAUUUGCCAAGGAUGUUUUCAUUAAUCAAGAACGAAAGUUAGGGGAUCGAAGACGAUCAGAUACCGUCGUAGUCUUAACCAUAAACUAUGCCGACUAGGGAUCGGAUGAUGUUAAUUUUUUAAUGACUCAUUCGGCGCCUUACGGGAAAC